GGCUGGUCCAAAUGCAGUGGUUACAACUAACUGAUCACAGCCAGUUACAGAUUUCUUUGUUUCUUCACUCCUACUGCUUCACCUGACUAGCCUAAA
rnacentral:Y_RNA from 1 species